rnacentral:rRNA from 1 species
CUCAGUUGCCAGCACAUAAUGGUGGGCACUCUGUGGAGACUGCCCGGGUUAACCGGGAGGAAGGUGGGGAGUGACGUCAAGUCAUCAUGGCCCUUACGCCUAGGGCUACACACGUACUACAAUGGUGGGUACAAAGGGCAGCGAAACCGCGAGGUCGAGCGAAUCUCAAAAAACCCAUCAUAGUCCGGAUUGCAGUCUGCAACUCGACUGCAUGAAGUUGGAAUCGCUAGUAAUCCCGGAUCAGCAUGCCGGGGUGAAUACGUUCCCGGGCCUU